AGUGAACGCUGGCGGUAGGCCUAACACAUGCAAGUCGAACGGAAGCACAGUAAGAUCUUGCUCUUACGGGUGGCGAGUGGCGGACGGGUGACGAAUACAUCGGAAUCUACUUUUUCGUGGGGGAUAACGGAGGGAAACUUACGCUAAUACCGCAUACGACCUACCGGUGAAAGCAGGGGAUCUUCGGACCUUUCGCGAUUGAAUGAGCCGAUGUCGGAUUAGCUAGUUGGCGGGGUAAAGGCCCACCAAGGCGACGAUGCGUAGCUGGUCUGAGAGGAUGAUCGGCCACACUGGAACUGAGACACGGUCCAGACUCCUACGGGAGGCAGCAGUGGGGAAUAUUGGGCAAAGGGCGCAAGCCUGAUCCAGCCAUACUGCGUGGGUGAAGAAGGCCUUCGGGUUGUAAAGCCCUUUUGUUGGGAAAGAAAAGCAGCAGGUUAAUACCCCGCUGUUCUGACGGUACCCAAAGAAUAAGCACCGGCUAACUUCGUG
rnacentral:rRNA from 1 species